GGAUUAGAUACCCUGGUAGUCCACGCCCUAAACGAUGUCAACUAGACGUUGGGUUCAUCUGGAACUUAGUGUCGAAGCUAACGCGUUAAGUUGACCGCCUGGGGAGUACGGCCGCAAGGUUGAAACUCAAAGGAAUUGACGGGGGCCCGCACAAGCGGUGGAGCAUGUGGUUUAAUUCGAUGCAACGCGAAGAACCUUACCAGCCCUUGACAUCCUCGGAACUUUGUAGAGAUACAUUGGUGCCUUCGGGAAUCGAGUGACAGGUGCUGCAUGGCUGUCGUCAGCUCGUGCCG
rnacentral:rRNA from 1 species